CCAAGAUCUCAGGUCACGCACGUGAUGGACAAUUAGAGGAAUUUAUUCUGGAUUUUGAAGUAGAAGCUCCUUAACGGCAAAACUGGGGACUUCGCCAUAGUCUGGAGGCUACCAGCCUCACGAUGAGCCUCCAGGCGUGAAAGAACUUCGUGCCUUCAAUCAGUAGAUGUAAUUAUUUGAUGCAGUGACAAAGGAAGAAUCCAGUCUAUUGAUAGAAAUGAUGAAAAGCAUUACAAGAACUGGUUAACAUAGAAACCCCGGAAGAGAGCAAUACGAUGACUGAUGGAAAUAUGGGCAUCAGCAGU